CAGUUAGUAAGUAGUGAAUCUGUUUUUGAAUAAAUGUGUAAAAUCUGUUUGUGUGAAUGUAUUUAUGAUGAAAUGAAUGGUUGUAUGAUAGUGAAUGUUAAGUGUAAAAGUAUUACUUGUUCAAGUUUUAGCUUUUUUGUUGAACAGGAAACCAAAAACAAAAAUUACCAAAAUAUUUAAGUGCUUAUUUGUUAAGUUUUGAUGCUUUUUAUAUGUUGGAUUCAUUAUUUUAUUAGGAUGACAAUUUUUUAACAAUUUCGCUGUUAAAUGUGACGAAAAAUUCAAAUUUACAACAAAGUACAAAAGAUCAAUAGGAUUAGGCCAUAAAAGGAAUGUGUUCUUUUUCUCUAACCAUACCUAUCCAGAAAAUAGCUGCCUACUCAACAUAUUUUAUUGUCUUAUGUACAUUUUUUUUAAUCAGAUAUGCAUGAAGAGUAAAAAACAUCCGACACUUUGGUUUCUCUUUACUGAAAAAAAAUGCCAGCCUACCUGCCCAUUGUUCUUACCUUUGGGUAUGGUGUCGGCAAACAAAAAUAUUUUUAAGUGUGGCCUAAGUCAUUCAGACUUUGCCAAAACCAUGAAAUCAAAUAUUCAUGAAAAUACAGUUUCUCCUCAAUCAACAAAAUAUAUCCAUUAAAGUAAAUGAAUCCACAAUUAAAAGUUUAUUAUUAUUUCAAUGUUUACUCUUGUUAUUUUCUCUUUGUUGAUUACUUCUAAAUCUUUGUUUCUUUAAUGACUCUUUUAUCAAAAUAUUCUAUGUGUUCCUCACCCUAGGUCCUUAAAGUCCUGUGGUACACUGGUGCUAUAUUUUCUUCCAUGUUGUUACCUUGAAUAAUUUUAUUAUAGAAUGUAUAGGGGCC
rnacentral:lncRNA from 1 species